GGCAAGAUUACUCUUUUUUUUAGCGCAUGCCUUGCUAUAUGUAUAGUCAGAAGCGCAUCCCCCAAGAGGGUUGCUCAAGUUUUCCAGGAGGGUGUCCUAUGCAUUGCAGGCUUAGAAGCUGACUCAACCUCGGUGAGUAGGUUAGGUAUUAUCCCAGACUCGCAGCCGCCGAAAGCCUCAGAGCCUGGCAAACUCGGGUCGCGCAACGCCGCCGCGUGACAUCAGAGACCGGCUCUUCCUCCAGGCCCAGCUUUGUCUCAUUGUCCCACCCAUGACCGCGAAGGAAGCGUGCAAGCAAAGCGGCGCUCCGUGUUUUAGCCACAGUGUCGGCAGCACGGGGACCCAGGUAGUGCAAGCUUGCAGCCGCUGCGUCCGCCCGACUCGGUCGCUCCCUGGAGACCGCAUAGCUAGGGCGAAGGCGCUGGGGCUCUGCAGCCUGAGCCUGCGUAGACCCUGGGGCGACCCGUUUGCGAGAUCGCGGCAGUGACUUAAGGCACCCCCUGGCAGAAGCGCGUUUGAAUCGGUUCCCGGGCUGCUUCCCAGCCUCUGCCCAGUCUGUGCUGCGCGGCCCGCCGAGGCCGGGAGCCGCGGGGGCUGGAGCCGAGGGCACGCGUGCAGUCGGUGUCUCCGGAAAGCGCGCCCGAGAGCCGCGGGGCCUUCUCUUUUUCCUCUCAACAAGGCAGCGGAAGGCGCCAAGCGAUCCAGGCGGUUUCUCGGAGGGAUCUGAGAGGGAUAGCGGCAUCGACCGCUAUACGACCGUGUGCUUGUUUGACCCGCGUGGGAAGGGCUUGGGGAUCGCGCACUGAAGGUCUCGGAGCGCGCGGGCUACGCAGGGUUCCGCGCUUCUGUGUGUCAGAUUCGAUUCCUGGAGCCUUAUUUCAGAUGAAGACCUACUGCCUUAGCCAUCUCUGUGGAAAUGGGGCCAAGAAGACCUCCACAGGUACUGUGUCUAUCUUCCUGAAGACAAGAUGACAUUUUCAUUUCAGAUUUUGGCCUUAUAUAGUACUUGAGAAAACUAAAUAAGAAGGAAUGCAUGAAGUUUAAGGACUUUCUCAUACAGGAGAUUCUGGAAUUGAAGCUGAAACAGAUAUCUUAGACUGAAAUGAAGAAAGCAUCUCAGAAAGAUCUUGCCAACUUACUUCUGAAAUAUGGGGAGAAUCAAGCCUGGGAUAUGACCUUCAAAAUCCUCCAGAAGAUCAAUAGGAAAGAUCUCACUGAAAGGGCAACAGAAGAGAUUGCUGAUUUCAUUUCUUCAAGGUUCUCAUGAAUCUUCUGAGCAAGAUUUAAAUUCUCCAUCUCUACCUUACUCAGAGUUAAACCCUGCCCCUUGAACUGCUUCUUGGUGACAGCAGAUGCUGGCAAGGAUGUGGAGAAAGAGGAACACUCCUCCAUUGUUGGUGGGAUUGAAAGCUUGUACAACCACUCUGGAAAUCAGUCUGGCGGUUCCUCAGAAAAUUGGACAUAGAACUACUAGAGGAUCCCGCAAUACCUCUCCUGGGCAUAUAUCCAGAAGAUGUUCCAACCAGUAAGAAGGACACAUGCUCCACUAUGUUCAUAGCAGCCUUAUUUAUAAUAGCCAGAAGCUGGAAAGAACCCAGAUGCCUCUCAACAGAGGAAUGGAUACAGAAAAUGUGAUACAUUUACACAAUGGAGUACUACUCAGCUAUUAAAAAGAAUGAAUUUAUGAAAUUCCUAGGCAAAUGGAUGGACCUGGAGGGCAUCAUCCUGAGUGAGGUAACCCAAUCACAAAAGAACUCACACAAUAUGUACUCACUGAUAAGUGGAUAUUAGCCCAGAAAUUUAGAAUACCCAAGAUAUAAGAUACAAUUUGCUAAACGCAUGAAACUCAAGAAGAAUGAAGACCAAAGUGUGGACACUUUGCCCCUUCUUAGAAUUGGGAACAAAACACCCAUGGAAGGAGUUACAGAGACAAAGUUUGGAGCUGAGACAAAAAGAUGGAUCAUGUAGAAACUGCCAUAUCCCGGGAUCCAUCCCAUAAUCAGCUUCCAAACGCUGACACCAUUGCAUACACUAGCAAGAUUUUGCUAAAAGGACCCAGAUAUGGCUGUCCCUUGUAAGACUAUGCUGGGGCCUGGCAAACACAGAAGUGGAUGCUCACAGUCAGCUAUUGGAUUGAUCACAGGGCCCACAAUGGAGGAGCUAGGGAAAGUACUCAAGGAGCUGAAGGUAUCUGCAGUCCUAUAGGUGGAACAACAAUAUGAACUAACCAAUACCUUCUCCCCUGCUCUCCCCCCCCCCCUGAGCUCAUGACUCUAGCUGCAUAUGUAUCAGAAGAUGGCCUCGUCGGCCAUCAAUGGAAAGAGAGGCCCAUUGGUCAUGCAAACUUUAUAUGCCUCAGUACAGGGUAAUGCCACGGCCAAGAAGUGGGAGUGGGUGGGUAGGGAAGCGUGUGGGGGACUUUUGGGAUAGCAUUGGAAAUGUAAAUGAAAUAAAUACCCAA
rnacentral:lncRNA from 1 species